rnacentral:rRNA from 1 species
GUAGGGUGCGAGCGUUAAUCGGAAUUACUGGGCGUAAAGCGUGCGCAGGCGGCUUUGCAAGACAGAUGUGAAAUCCCCGGGCUCAACCUGGGAGCUGCAUUUGUGACUGCAAGGCUAGAGUACGGCAGAGGGGGAUGGAAUUCCGCGUGUAGCAGUGAAAUGCGUAGAUAUGCGGAGGAACACCGAUGGCGAAGGCAAUCCCCUGGGCCUGUACUGACGCUCAUGCACGAAAGCGUGGGGAGCAAACAGGAUUAGAUACCCUGGUAGUCCACGCCCUAAACGAUGUCAACUGGUUGUUGGGAAUUCACUUUCUCAGUAACGAAGCUAACGCGUGAAGUUGACCGCCUGGGGAGU